UUAUGGCCAUAUCACAUUGAAACACCAGUUCUCCUACGAUCACUGAAGUUAAGCAACGUUGAGCAUGGUCAGACCACUAGAUGGGUGACCACUUCAGAAUACCAGGUGCUGUAAG